ACUGCUCAGUAACACGUAGCUAACCUACCCUUAAGUCAGGGAUAACCUCGGGAAACUGAGGGUAAUACCUGAUAGGAGACAUACCCUGGAAUGAUUUGUCUCUCAAACUCGAGCUUAAGGAUGGGGCUGCGGUGGAUUAGGUCGUUGGCGGGGUAAUGGCCCACCAAGCCAAAGGUCCAUAGGGGCUCUUAGCGGAGAAGCCCCGAGAGGGAAUCUGAGACACUAUUCCCAGCCCUACGGGGUGCAGCAGUUAGGAAUAAUCUACAAUGCGCGCAAGCGUGAUAGUUUGAGCCAGAGUGCUUCUCAUUAGAGAAGCUUUUGUGAAAUCUAAAACGUUUCACGAAUAAGGACUGGGUAAGACUAGUGCCAGCCGCCGCGGUAAUACUAGCGGUCCAAGUCGCAGCCAUUUUUAUUGGGUCUAAAAUAUCCGUAGCUUGCUUGAUAAGUUUCUUGUGAAAUUUUAUGUCUUAAACAUGAAGCGUGCAAGAAGUACUGUCAAGCUAGAGACUGGGAGGCGUAAGAAGUACGUUCAGAGUAGCGGUAAAAUGUGUUAAUCCUGGACGGACUCACAAAGCGAAGGCAUCUUACGAGAACAGUUCUGACAGUCAGGGAUGAAGGCUAGGGGCGCAAAACGGAUUAGAUACCCGUGUAGUCCUAGCAGUAAACACUGCACACUAAACAUCAGUACCUCCUCGAGAGGUAUUGGUGCUGCAGCGAAGGCGAAGAGUGUGCUACCUGGGAAGUAUAGUCGCAAGGCCGAAACUUAAAGGAAUUGGCGGGGGAGCAC
rnacentral:rRNA from 1 species